AUGUCGGAGAGCUCCGAGCUCUACUCGGUGGGCUGCUUGGCCAUGGAUUUCCUCCCGGAGGAGCUCACCUUCUCCUGGACCAACUACGUCAACGACAGCAUCUCCAGCGGCGUCUCCGCCUUCCCCUCGGUGCUGGCCGUCGAGCGGCCGCCGGACACCGACAUCGUGGUGAAGGCGAUCCCCCCGGCCUUCGCCGACAUCUUCAUCGACAAGGUGGCCAAGCUGACCUGCCGAGUGAGCAACCUGCCCAGCGUGGAGGGCCUGGCCAUCGCCUGGAGGAAGGAGACGGGCCAAGAGCUGGAGACCAGGACCUUGCCCCAGGUGCUGCAACCCAACGGGCUCUACAGCGUGGACGGCGUGGCCAGCGUCUGCGCCGACGAGUGGGACAAGGGCGAGGUCUACGUGUGCAGGGUGAGCCACCCUGACCUGCUCUUCCCCGUCGAGGAAAAGCUGCAGAGGAAGGCUGGUAAGCUUCGCCCCUCCUCGCCCCGGCUCCAAAAACUGGGGGGGUGGCAUUGA